rnacentral:tRNA from 1 species
UGCCAGAUCGUCUAAUGGUAGGACACCUCCCUCUGGAGGAGGUUAUCUUGGUUCGAGUCCAGGUCUGGCAGCCA